UUUAGACAAAUUUCACAUUUGUGAGGUUUUUCUCCAGUGUGAGUCAUCAAAUGUAAUUUCAAAUGACCGGCUUGAGUAAAUUGCUUUAAACAAAUUUUACAUUUGUGAGGUUUUUCUCCAGUGUGAGUCAUCAAAUGUAAUUUCAAAUGACCGGCUUGAGUAAACUGCUUUAAACAAAUUUUACAUUUGUGAGGUUUUUCUCCAGUGUGAGUCAUCAAAUGUGACUUUAAAGAACUGGCGCGAGUAAACUGCUUUAAACAAAUUUCACAUUCGUGGGGUUUUUCUUCAGUGUGAGUCAUUAAAUGUGAUUUCAAAUGAGCCGCUUUAGUAAACUGCUUUAAACAAAUUUCACAUUUGUGAGAUUUUUUUCCAGUGUGAGUCAUCAAAUGUGAUUUCAAAUUACUGGCUUGAGUAAACUGCUUUAAACAAAUUUCACAUUUGUGAGGUUUUUC